AAUCCUAUGGAACUGAAUGAAAUUGAAGCCACCGACAUAGCGAAGAAGACAGUUUUUUUCCUUUCGGAAUUCAUUAUCUUUGUUUUGGUUUGUAUUAAACAAAUCCAGUUCAAGUGACUGCUGAUAAGUAAAAUGUCAUGGUUUCAUUUUUAUUGUUUUUCGUGGCAUCCACUUACACUUACACAUACUGACACCCACACACAUCAACCUCGUUCAUAAGCAAGUGCAGCUAAGCUGAAUGAAAUGUUCUUCUUACUUUGGAGUCGGCCAUAUUACACAUGUAUGAACAGACUUCGUGGGAAGGGAGAAGCCUCGGAGCUUCCCCCGCAAAGGGCCGUUAAAAUCUGCUGCAUAGCUACGGCUUUGGCGUACACAACAGUUUGUUGGACACUAUAUUUGCCCGCUAGCGAUACGCUUUAGAAACUUUUUAAUUAUUUCUUUUGUGGGGGAGAACGAAGGUAGCCCAAUAGGACCCUUGCAAUGGUGGUGAUUUAUCAAACAGUCCAUGAGCUGAGCAUGAAACGGCAACCACUCCCAACACUGUCCCCUCUCAAGUCAUGCAUUUGCCUUUUAUUUACGUUCUCCCUGCAUAAGAAGUUUGCAGUUCACAAAAGUUCGGUAAAAUAAAAUAUUAACUUAUUCACAUAACAUUUGCGGUUGCCAUAAAGCACAUCGAGAAGGAACGGUUGGGUUCUUGUGUUGCCCGAGCUGAGUUCCCUCCCCUGCCUCCGUCAUUCCCGCACCUACUCUGGCCCCAACAAAGCGCCCUUGCAUCAGCAUCUGCAUCAACUCCACAGAUACACAAGUAGGAUACAUUGUUCGGCCAUGUUAUACGAUUAUACAUGUAAUUGCUACUUUAAUAUGCCAAACAGGCACUUUUGCCCGGAGUUUGUCCCUUCUUUCUGCCACUUGUCGCUGAUAUCGAAUCGAUGUUUUGGUCCUGCAGAGCACUUAAUAUACAUAUGUAUAUGUUUGCUGUCCCAAUGUAGACAUCGAUCCGAUUUUAAAAUAAAAAAUUAUUUUCAGUUUUGGUGCUUUAUUUUCGGAAGAAAUAUCACCAUAUGACCAGGAUGGAAUUGUUUCAAAGACAAUUACAAAGCAUUCGUCAAAACAUAUAUUAUUAUAGUAUUUAGAGAUGUUAGUCGAAUGAUCCGCAGAUGGUAUUGAAUUGCAACAGAUGCGCGUACAAUAGCGGUUGGGUCUUGCCCACGCCUGGCGAACACAUUAAGUUGCGCCAAAAAAAAAUGUUUUUAAAUAGUUCACGUACUGAAAGCCAUAAAUGCAAAAUUAGAGCUAAUUCGAUCGAAAAAUGCAACAUGCCUAAUCAUGUGCCUGAAAAUGUCAUUAGGACUAUCAUAAUAUUAGAAGUUGGCCAGUAAGUGAACAUAUUUUUAAAUAUCUACCAGUUCGAAAGUACCGAACAUAUAUUUACACAAAUAGGGAUACCUUUAUUGGAAAUCAGAAUAUUCAGUUGUCAUAAGUUUUGUACAACGCACAGAUUGUUCUAUUGGAAACCACAAGGAUUUCAAAAAAGACCCACUCUUAUAUUUUGAGAUACACAGAUAGGAGUGGGAAACUAUUUUGUAGACACUUAAUAUUACUUCAAUGGGCGGAUCAUUAUGGAUAGGCUGCAGCUAUUCUUGGAGCCCAUAAAAUACUGCUUUAGAUUCUACAAUUCCACCAAGAGUACUUUUGUAGCACAAUACUGUUUUGUUGUUAUCAAUCGCUUGACACACAUCCCGCCCAGCCGCAUUAGAAUCCAUAUUUCUUCUGGAAUCCGAAUGAAUGUGUGUAGCUGAUUAGAUUUGAAUGUGUUGGUAUUGUUUUUCGUCCGAAACAAAUGAAAUUAGUUUCGAAACUGAUUACACGCUCACAAUGGCUGACUGCAGGGGUCACACCGUGCUAUCGCCAUCGGCGUAAAACCCAACUUCGAAUGAAACGAACUUAGUCGCAACCGAGGCAUAUAAAACUAGAUUUGUGAUCGGAUGCUGAUUAGUCUGUUUCCGAGUUUUGGGACAAAGUGUUCUGUAAGCAAUCGAGAAAAUCUUAAACAUGAAAUUCACCUGGUUCUUGGCUAUUUUCUGCGCCAUCUUUGCCUUGGUCGCCGGUCAACAAUGCCCCACCAACUUCCAACUUAACUCCGCCAAGAAAUGCGUAGCCGAUCGCCCCGUCCAUGGCACCUGUCCGUCGCAAUCCGAAUAUGAUGUCAGUCUGAACAAAUGUGUGUAUGGCAAGCAGGUCACUCGUAAAUGAAAUGUGAACAAAUAAAAUAGAAGAACAUAUUUGUAA